UAUUCCAAUAUUGUAGUAAAG
ensembl:piRNA 21ur-11185 ncRNA